rnacentral:rRNA from 1 species
CCUACGGGGGGCAGCAGUGAGGAAUAUUGGUCAAUGGACGAGAGUCUGAACCAGCCAAGUAGCGUGAAGGAUGACUGCCCUAUGGGUUGUAAACUUCUUUUAUAUGGGAAUAAAACGUUCCACGUGUGGGAUUUUGUAUGUACCAUAUGAAUAAGGAUCGGCUAACUCCGUGCCAGCAGCCGCGGUAAUACGGAGGAUCCGAGCGUUAUCCGGAUUUAUUGGGUUUAAAGGGAGCGUAGGUGGAUUGUUAAGUCAGUUGUGAAAGUUUGCGGCUCAACCGUAAAAUUGCAGUUGAAACUGGCAGUCUUGAGUACAGUAGAGGUGGGCGGAAUUCGUGGUGUAGCGGUGAAAUGCUUAGAUAUCACGAGGAACUCCGAUUGCGAAGGCAGUUCACUGGACUGCAACUGACACUGAGGCUCGAAAGUGUGGGUAUCAAACAGGAUUAGAUACCCUUGUAGUC